AGGAGUAUGUCUGACAAAAGAAUUACUUUGAUAGAGUAAAACAUAGAGGUUAUAACCCUCUUACUCCUA
rnacentral:tRNA from 2 species